GGGACUAUGAUGACAAACCAAUGUCAUGAAGAGAGGUAAUGACAUAAAAAUCAUGUUCAGUAUGGUAGAGCUGAGGCAC
ensembl:snoRNA SNORD115 Small nucleolar RNA SNORD115